rnacentral:rRNA from 1 species
GUGUCAGCAGCCGCGGUAAGACGAACCGUCCGAACGUUAUUCGGAAUCACUGGGCUUAAAGAGUGCGUAGGCGGCUUAUCAGGCGGGGUGUGAAAUCCCUCGGCCCAACCGAGGAAUUGCGCUCCGAACCGAUAGGCUUGAGGAGGAUAGAGGUAAGCGGAACAGAUGGUGGAGCGGUGAAAUGCGUUGAUAUCAUCUGGAACACCUGUGGCGAAAGCGGCUUACUGGGUCCUUUCUGACGCUGAGGCACGAAAGCCAGGGUAGCGAACGGGAUUAGAAACCCUUGUAGUCC